AGUGAACGCUGGCGGUAGGCUUAACCCAUGCAAGUCGAACGGCAGCACAGUAAGAGCUUGCUAUUACGGGUGGCGAGUGGCGGACGGGUGACGAAUACAUCGUAAUCUACUCUUUCGUGGGGGAUAACGUAGCGAAACCUACGCCCAUACCGCAUAUCAUCUACGUGUGAAAGCAUGGGAUCUUCUGACCUUGUGGGAUUGAAUUAGCCGAUGUCGGAUUAGUUAGUUGGCGGGGUAAAGGCCCACCAAGGCGCCGAUCCGUAGCUGGUCUGAGAGGAUGGUCAGCCACACUGGAACUGAGACACGGUCCAGACUCCUACGGGAGGCAGCAGAGGGGAAUAUUGGACAAUGGGCGCAAGCCUGAUCCAGCCAUACCGCGUGGGUGAAGAAGGCCUUCGGGUUGUAAAGCCCUUUUGUUGGGAAAGAAAAGCAGCAGGUUAAUACCCCGCUGUUCUGACGGUACCCAAAGAAUAAGCACCGGCUAACUUCGUG
rnacentral:rRNA from 1 species